AUGAUAAGAGAGGGGGCAGCCGGGGUGGCUCAGCGGAUUAGCGCCGCCUUGGGCCCAGGGCCUGAUCCUGGAGACCUGGGAUCGAGUCCCACGUCAGGCUCAGGAUCGAGUCCCAGGGAUCGAGUCCCACGUCGCGCUCAGGAUCGAGUCCCAGGGAUCGAGUCCCACGUCGGGCUCAGGAUCGAGUCCCAGGGAUCGAGUCCCAGGGAUCGAGUCCCACGUCCGGCUCAGGAUCGAGUCCCAGGGAUCGAGUCCCACGUCGGGCUCAGGAUGAGUCCCAGGGAUCGAGUCCCACGUCAGGCUCAGGAUCGAGUCUCAGGGAUCAAGUCCCAGGGAUCGAGUCCCACGUCAGGCUCAGGAUCGGGUCCCAGGGAUCAAGUCCCAGGGAUGGAGUCCCAGGGAUCGAGUCCCACAUCGGGCUCCCUGCAUGGGGCCUGCUUCUCCCUGUGCCUGUGUCUCUGCCUCUCUCUCUCUCUCUCCCCCUCUGUAUCUCUCACGAAUAAAUUAAAAAUCUUAAAAAAAAAAAAAAAAGGUGAUUAGAGAGUAUGACAGCCUGUUGAUCCUUUAAAAAGCAGGUUGGUUUGUUUGGUCACUUGUUUUUAAAGGAAAAAAGCAAAGGCAUGAAAUAUGCCUCAGGGUCCAUGUCCCUCACAAAGUGUGUAUUCGAGAAAUCUGUACUCUGCUCAUAGGUAAGCAACUGUCUUCUUUAUGCGAAAUUUAAGUUAGCCACAACUGUCUUAUUUUUGGGGAGGGUGUUAGGUCACUCACUAUAUCUACUUAAAGGUAAAAAUGGUGUGAGAACAGAAGUUGGAAGCCCGUGGCACACACGCAGGUUCGCGCAGCCUCGUAUUUCCUGACAAAGUCCGCAAACUCCAAGGACCAUCUCCCAACGUAGCCACGGGGCGGGGAGGGGGGUGGGGGGUGGGCAGAGGGAAAACCCAACCAUCAAAAUGUGAGACAUGAAAAAGAGCCAAGAAACCUGGAGCCGGGUUCCGAGGGUUGGCCACCCGCUUGCACCCAUCCUACCAGAGGACAGGAAAGGCUCGCACAGAGGAGACGCAAGCCUGACUCUCGGACUCUGGGGUCGCGUGCGUCCGACCAGCGGGGUCCGAGGAAGCUCGGGGAGCAAGGCAAGGAGACGGGGGUGACGGAGGCGGGCGGCGGGCGGCGGGCGGCGGGCGGAGGCCCUCCGGCCGGAGCCCCGCGCGCCCGGGCCGCCAGGAGCCGCGCUCGCCCCGCGCGCCGCUGGGGGCCGGGCGGCCGCGCGAGUCCCCCCCGCCGGGCCGGGCCGGUCCGGGCAGCAGGGGGCGCGGGCCGCCGGAGGUCGCGGAGGGCACUGCAGCCGCAGCCCACGCUCGCGCCCCGCCGGGCUCCGCGCUCGGGUCUCCGGCUCCGGGGGGUGGGGGUGGGUGGAGCGGAGCCGGGGCCGCCCCCCGGAGCCGCCCCCGCAGCCCCGGCCCCCGCCCCCGGCCCCCGCCCCGGCUGUCAGCCGCCCCCCUCCCGCAGUCACUCACCCGCGGGCUGCGCGGUCUCGGCCUCG
rnacentral:lncRNA from 12 species